CUAAGAAUAUUCCGCAAUGGACGGAAGUCUGACGGAGCGACGCCGCGUGGAUGACGAAGGCCGAAAGGUUGUAAAGUUCUUUUGCUGGGGAAGAAUAACCGCAGGAGGGAAUGCCUGUGGGAUGACAAGAACCGGCGAAUAAGCCCCGGCCAACUACGUGCCAGCAGCCGCGGUAACACGUAGGGGGGCGAGCGUUGUUCGGAAUUACUGGGCGUAAAGGGCAUGUAGGCGGCUUGGAAAGCCUGGCGUGAAAGUCUGCAGCUUAACUGCAGGGUGCGCUGGGAACUGCUGAGCUUGAGUGACGGAGAGGGAGCUGGAAUUCCUGGUGUAGGGGUGAAAUCUGUAGAUAUCAGGAAGAACACCGAUGGCGAAGGCAAGCUCCUGGCCGAUGACUGACGCUGAGGUGCGAAAGUGUGGGGAUCAAACAGGAUUAGAUACCCUGGUAGUCCACACAGUCAACGAUGUGCACUAGGUGCUGGGGCGGUAGCUUCGGUGCCGGAGCGAACGUGGUAAGUGCACCGCCUGGGGAGUAUGCUCGCAAGGGUGAAACUCAAAUGAAUUGAC
rnacentral:rRNA from 1 species